rnacentral:rRNA from 1 species
UACGUAGGGUGCAAGCGUUGUCCGGAAUUAUUGGGCGUAAAGAGCUCGUAGGCGGUCUGUCGCGUCGGCUGUGAAAACCCGGAGCUCAACUCCGGGCCUGCAGUCGAUACGGGCAGACUGGAGUUCGGCAGGGGAGACUGGAAUUCCUGGUGUAGCGGUGAAAUGCGCAGAUAUCAGGAGGAACACCGGUGGCGAAGGCGGAUCUCUGGGCCUUACCUGACGCUCAGGUGCGAAAGCUAGGGGAGCGAACAGG